rnacentral:rRNA from 2 species
GUUCGCCGCCCCCGACGUCGCGAGAAGUCCAUUGAACCUUAUCAUUUAGAGGAAGGAGAAGUCGUAACAAGGUUUCCGUAGGUGAACCUGCGGAAGGAUCAUU